rnacentral:lncRNA from 1 species
UUGCCGGGAACGAAGUUGGUGGCGAAAGCCCAGGCGUUGUUGUUGACGGGGUCGGCGAGGUGGUCGGCGAGGUUCUCGAGGGGGCCCUUGCCGGUGACGAUGGCCUGGACGAAGAAGCCGAACAUGGAGAACAUGGCGAGGCGGCCGUUCUUGAUCUCCUUCACCUUGAGCUCGGCGAAGGCCUCGGGGUCCUCGGCGAGGCCCAGGGGGUCGAAGCUGCCGCCGGGGUAGAGCGGGUCGACUAUCUCGCCGAGCGGGCCGCCGGCGACGCGGUAGCCCUCGACGGCGCCCAUGAGCACCACCUGGCAGGCCCAGAUGGCGAGGAUGCUCUGGGCGUGGACGAGGCUGGGGUUGCCGAGGUAGUCGAGGCCGCCCUCGCUGAAGAUCUGGGAGCCGGCCUUGAACCACACGGCCUCGCCGAACUUGACGCCGUUGCGGGCGAGCAGCUCGGGGAAGACGCAGCCGAGCGCGCCGAGCAUGGCCCAGCGGCAGUGGAUGACCUCCAGCUCACGGUUCUUGGCGAAGGUCUCGGGGUCAGCGGACAGCCCCGCGGUGUCCCAGCCGUAGUCGCCGGGGAACUCGCCGGUGAGGUAGCUCGGGGGGUCGCCGGAGAGCGGGCCGAGGUAGAGCACGCGGUCGGAGCCGUACCACGGGCUGCUGGACGCCGCCACCUUGGGCUUGCCCGCCGUCUUGCGCAUGGUGAUGCGGCCCUCGCCGAAGGGCGCCGCCCUGGAGGCCUUCACCGGGGUGCCGGCCAUCGCCGGGGAGGAGAGCGCCAUGGUCGCCGCGGCCGCCAUCGCUCGCUGCGUGCUAGCUAGCUAGCCUUGCUUCGAGUGAGCUGAGGCUGGCAGUGACAGUAGGAGGCGCUGGUGGUCGUUGGUGGUGAGGAGUGAAGCGGGAGCGCGCCGGGUUUAAAUAGGAGGAGGGAGCGAUCGGGUCCUUAUCCCGGGGAAUCUUAUGCCGAGUCGCCAUUGGCGCGCGGGGCGCGAGGCGGGCGGAUGGGGCGGCUGAGGUGGCCGCGCGGUGGCCACGGGAGCGGCGGAGGUCGGGAUUUUUUGCGGGGUUGUGGUGGAUUUGGCGCGGUGGAGAUGAGCCGCGAGGGCGACGGUGGGUCGCGGCCGCAGCCCACAUGGCCGCGUGUGGGGCGGCUCGCCGAUGUGGCCGCGCGCUGGCCAGGGGAUCUCCUGCUCACCGCGCCGGGCGGAAGGGGACGGAGGGCGAUGAGUUUGGCCGUUGCGCGCGGUGCAUUCUGAGGCGUGCCGCUGGCCGGAGGACCCCGGGAAAGAGAUAUCUGCCGUUGGCAGGUUGUGCCGGCGACC